rnacentral:lncRNA from 1 species
ACCGCCCCCCUGGACGGCGUCAUCCUGGUGGUGGCGGCCACCGACGGGCAGAUGCCGCAGACCCGCGAGCACCUCCUGCUGGCACGGCAGGUGAGCACAGGUAAAGGGACAGGUGGGACAGGUGAGACAGGUAAAGGGACAGGUGGGACAUGGACAGGUGGGACAGGUGAGACAUGGACAGGUGGGACAUGGACAGGUGAGACAGGUGGGACAGGUAAAGGGACAGGUGGGACAUGGACAGGUGGGACAUGGACAGGUGGGACAUGGACAGGUGGGACAUGGACAGGUGGGACAGGUAAAGGGACAGGUGGGACAUGGACAGGUGGGACAUGGACAGGUGUGUCAGCACCUCCUGCUGGCACGGCAGGUGAGGA